GGAAUAUUGGACAAUGGGCGAAAGCCUGAUCCAGCAACGCCGCGUGCGCGAUGACGGCCUUCGGGUUGUAAAGCGCUUUUAGAGGAGAAGAGAAAGGACUGUAUCCUCUGAAUAAGCCUCGGCGAACUACGUGCCAGCAGCCGCGGUAAAACGUAGGAGGCUAGCGUUAUCCGGAUUUAUUGGGCGUAAAGCGCGUGCAGGCGGUUUGACGUGUUGGAUGUGAAAUCUCCCGGCUUAACUGGGAGGCGUC
rnacentral:rRNA from 1 species